rnacentral:lncRNA from 1 species
UUAAUCAAAUUCAAAAGAAAUCUUAAAGAAAUUACAAAAGAAAUAAUUAGAAAUCGUAAAAGAGUUAAAAAAAAUCCACAAUAAAUCUUAAAAGAAUUCUUAAGAAACUCUAAAAAAUAUUAAAAUAAUCAUAAAUAUCUUCAAUAAAUCUCAAUCAAGUUCUAUUUUAAUCCUAAUUGAAAUCUUAAUGGACUUCAAUCAAAUCCUAGAUAAAUCCUAAAUCCUAAAUCAAAUCUUAAAUUAAAUCUUAGAUAAAUCUUAAACUCUAAAAAAAAUCCUAGACAAAUUCUAAAUUCUAAACCAAAUUCUAGAUAAAUCCUAAAUCAAAUCUUAGACAAAUCUUAAAUCCUAAAUCAAAUCCUAAACCAAAUCCUAGACAAACCUUUAAUCUUAAAUCAAACCCUAGAUAAACUCUAAAUCCUAAACCAAACUCUAAAAAAAUUCUAAAUCCUAAAUC